GCAAACUUGGUCAUUUAGAGGAAGUAAAAGUCGUAACAAGGUUUCCGUAGGUGAACCUGCGGAAGGAUCAUUACUGAGGACUUGCCCUUAGGGGUAGAUCUCCCACCCUAUGCUUACAUACUUUGUUGCUUUGGCAGGCCUGCCCCUGUGCUACUGGCCUUGGCUGGUUAGUGUCUGCCAGAGAACCAACACUCUAAAUCAUUUAUUGUCCAAGUACUAUAUAAUAGUUAAAACUUUCAACAACGGAUCUCUUGGUUCUGGCAUCGAUGAAGAACGCAGC
rnacentral:misc_RNA from 1 species